GUUGCCCGGCCGCGCGAUAAUACGUAGGGUGCGAGCGUUAUCCGGAAUUAUUGGGCGUAAAGAGCUCGUAGGCGGUUUGUCGCGUCUGUCGUGAAAGUCCGGGGCUUAACCCCGGAUCUGCGGUGGGUACGGGCAGACUAGAGUGCAGUAGGGGAGACUGGAAUUCCUGGUGUAGCGGUGGAAUGCGCAGAUAUCAGGAGGAACACCGAUGGCGAAGGCAGGUCUCUGGGCUGUAACUGACGCUGAGGAGCGAAAGCAUGGGGAGCGAACAGGAUUAGAUACCCUGGUAGUCCAUGCCGUAAACGUUGGGCACUAGGUGUGGGGACCAUUCCACGGUUUCCGCGCCGCAGCUAACGCAUUAAGUGCCCCGCCUGGGGAGUACGGCCGCAAGGCUAAAACUCAAAGGAAUUGACGGGGGCCCGCACAAGCGGCGGAGCAUGCGGAUUAAUUCGAUGCAACGCGAAGAACCUUACCAAGGCUUGACAUGUUCUCGAUCGCCGUAGAGAUACGGUUUCCCCUUUGGGGCGGGUUCACAGGUGGUGCAUGGUUGUCGUCAGCUCGUGUCGUGAGAUGUUGGGUUAAGUCCCGCAACGAGCGCAACCCUCGUUCCAUGUUGCCAGCACGUCGUGGUGGGGACUCAUGGGAGACUGCCGGGGUCAACUCGGAGGAAGGUGAGGACGACGUCAAAUCAUCAUGCCCCUUAUGUCUUGGGCUUCACGCAUGCUACAAUGGCCGGUACAAUGGGUUGCGAUACUGUGAGGUGGAGCUAAUCCCAAAAAGCCGGUCUCAGUUCGGAUUGGGGUCUGCAACUCGACCCCAUGAAGUCGGAGUCGCUAGUAAUCGCAGAUCAGCAACGCGCCAUGUGUAGCAUCCC
rnacentral:rRNA from 1 species